rnacentral:rRNA from 1 species
AUUGAACGCUGGCGGCAUGCCUUACACAUGCAAGUCGAACGGUAACAGGUCUUCGGAUGCUGACGAGUGGCGAACGGGUGAGUAAUACAUCGGAACGUGCCUAGUAGUGGGGGAUAACUACACGAAAGAGUGGCCAAUACCGCAGGGGAUCGACGGAUGAAAGCAGGGGAUCGCAAGCCCUUGUGCUAAUAGAGCGCCCGAUGGCAGAUUAGGUAGUUGGUGGGAUAAAAGCUUACCAAGCCGACGAUCUGUAGUUGGUCUGAGAGGACGAUCAGCCACACUGGGACUGAGACACGGCCCAGACUCCUACGGGAGGCAGCAGUGGGGAAUUUUGGACAAUGGGCGCAAGCCUGAUCCAGCAAUGCCGCGUGCAGGAUGAAGGCCUUCGGGUUGUAAACUGCUUUUGUACGGAACGAAAAGCCCUGGGUUAAUACCCUGGGGUCAUGACGGUACCGUAAGAAUAAGCACCGGCUAACUACGUGCCAGCAGCCGCGGUAACAC